GCCCCGUAAUCGGAAUGAGUACACUUUAAAUCCUUUAACAAGGAUCCAUUGGAGGGCAAGUCUGGUGCCAGCAGCCGCGGUAAUUCCAGCUCCAAUAGCGUAUAUUAAAGUUGUUGCGGUUAAAAAGCUCGUAGUUGGUUCUGCGUGCCGCGCUGUCGGUUCGCCGCCUGUCGGUGUAACUGGCAUGUUCGCGGCAUGUCCUGUCGGUGGUGAACAGGGUCCACGAUGCUGCAUUAGGCUUUUAAAGGCCGAUGUUAGCGUCGUGUGUACUUUUGUUGGCCGAUCUCUCCUACUUCGGUGCUCUUAAACGAGUGUCGAGGUAGGCCGACACGUUCACUUUGAACAAAUUAGAGUGCUUAAAGCAGGCUGAAAUAUCUGCCUGAAUAGUGGUGCAUGGAAUGAUAAAACAGGACCUCGGUUCUAUUUUGUUGGUUUUAGGAAUAUGAGGUAAUGAUCAAUGUGGACUGGCGGGGGCAUUCGUAUUGCGACGUUAGAGGUGAAAUUCUUGGAUCGUCGCAAGACGCACUAGAGCGAAAGCAUUUGCCAAGUAUGUCUUAAUUGAUCAAGAACGAAAGUUAGAGGUUCGAAGGCGAUUAGAUACCGCCCUAGUUCUAACCAUAAACGAUGCCAGCCAGCGAUCCGCCGAUGUUCCUUUAAUGACUCGGCGGGGAGCUUCCACCCGGGAAACCAAAGCUUUUGGGUUCCGGGGGAAGUAUGGUUGCAAAGCUGAAACUUAAAGGA
rnacentral:rRNA from 1 species